rnacentral:lncRNA from 13 species
GUAGAUAUCCCUGGGAAGGGUGUGAGACCCUGGGUGAGGCUGCUCCCAGCUGAGGACAAUUCUUGGAAAGUGUUUCAGCUGAGAGCUGUUAGUGGCUAAUGUUCCCAGCAGCUGAAGAAGGAGUUCCUCAGGCCUGGAGUGGGGAUCUGGGUGGCACACCACAGCAUCCACUACAAUAAACAUUUUAGAAAAUAGAAGCAAAAGGAAGAAAAUAAAGAUGACUCCAGAUUCCACCACAUUGAGAAGAGGAUUAUUAACUUUUUUCUCCUGGUGCUUCCCAUUGGCCAACUUCAACUGGAACACAAGGACACGGCAGCCCAUGGAGACUUAUCUGGAAUAGAAAACUGGAGUCCUACAGGGAAGAGAGGAGUCCUGCAGGGAGGAGAGUGUGUGGCAUCAAUUCUGGAAACGGAUCACCCCAGUCCUGGUGGCUGCUUCUCAGAUUCUCGUGUAUCAUUCACUCACUCAUACAGCAAACAUUUCUGGUAAUGCCAAACACUUCUUAGGACUGGGGGUAUUAAGAUGAAAAAGACCUUAUCUUGUCAUUGCCUCAAGUCUAGCGCAUGGGGGGAUGCAGACAUUUACAUUCCAGGUGAUAGAGCAGAAAACAAGGUCUUAUAAAAGAGUGUAAGGUUGGUGGAACUAUAAAUUAGUACAAUCUCCAGGGAAAACAGCAUGGAGACUUAUUUCUCAAAUAACUAAAAAUAGAACUACCACUGGACCCAGCAGCCCCACUACUGGGUAUCUCCUCAAAGCAAAAUAAAUCGUUAUGUAAAAAAAUGCCCUAGUAUGUU